UUUAUCGGAGAGUUUGAUCCUGGCUCAGGACGACGCUGGCGGCGUGCCUAAUACAUGCAAGUCGAGCGGACAGAUGGGAG
rnacentral:rRNA from 1 species